AAAAUGCGGGUAGUGGCGGUUAGUAAAAAAUUUGAAGAGCGAUCCACAUUCUCAGUGAAAAAGGAAAAAUCACUAUUGUCAGGGUGCAGAGGAACAUGGCUGUAUAUAAGUACGCUGCAAACAUUAUCCGGAACCGAAGGAAUAAUCAAAAACAACGGAUUGAGAACAUAAUAAAAAUGUGUAUCAUGGUAAAAAUAUUAAAUAAAAAAAUAAAACUAUAAUUAUU